rnacentral:rRNA from 1 species
CCUCGGGAGGUAGUAGUGGGGAAGAGUGGGCAAGGGAGGAAACUCGGACCCAGCAACGACGAGUGAAGGAGGAAGGGCUUCGGAUUGUAAAGCUCUUUUUUAAGGGAAGAAGAAAGUGACGGUACCUUAGGUAUAAGCCUUGGCUAACGACGGGCCAGCAGCCGCGGUAAUACGUAGGAGGCAAGCGUUAUCCGGAAUGCCUGGGCGUAAAGGGUGCGUAGGUGGUUUGACAAGUUGGUAGCGUAACUCCGGGGCUCAACCUCGGCACUGCUACCCAAACUGUUGGACUUGAGUGCCGGAGAGGCAAGUGGAAUUCCUAGUGUAGCGGUGAAAUGCGUAGAUAUUAGGAGGAACACCAGUGGCGAAGGCGGUUUGCUGGACUGUAACUGACACUGAGGCACGAAAGCGUGGGGAGCAAACAGGAUUAGAUACCCCAGUAGUC